ACGGCCCCCCUCGACCGAAAGAACUGCCGCUCAGGUGCGAAAAGCCUGGGGAGCCAAACCAGGAUAAGAUACCCUGGUAGUCCCCCCGUAAACGAUGUCGACUUGGAGGGUUGUUCCCUUGAGGAGUGGCUUCCGGAGCUAAACGCGUUAAAUCGACCGCCCUGGGGAGUACGGCCGCAAGGGUAAAACUCAAAUGAAUUGACGGGGGGCCGCACAAGCGGUGGAGCAUGUGGUUUAAUUCGAUGCAACGCGAAGAACCUACCUACUCUUGACAUCCAGAGAACUUAGCAGAGAUGCUUUGGUGCCUUCGGGAACUCUGAGACAGGUGCUGCAUGGCUGUCGUCAGCUCGUGUUGUGAAAUGUUGGGUUAAGUCCCGCAACGAGCGCAACCCUUAUCCUUUGUUGCCAGCGAUUCGGUCGGGAACUCAAAGGAGACUGCCGGUGAUAAACCGGAGGAAGGUGGGGAUGACGUCAAGUCAUCAUGGCCCUUACGAGUAGGGCUACACACGUGCUACAAUGGCGCAUACAAAGAGAAGCGACCUCGCGAGAGCAAGCGGACCUCACAAAGUGCGUCGUAGUCCGGAUCGGAGUCUGCAACUCGACUCCGUGAAGUCGGAAUCGCUAGUAAUCGUGGAUCAGAAUGCCACGGUGAAUACGUUCCCGGGCCUUGUACACACCGCCCGUCACACCAUGGGAGUGGGUUGCAAAAGAAGUAGGUAGCUUUUCUUCGGGACCGGCGCGACUACGCGAACUUUGUCUCCCCCCAAUGGUC
rnacentral:rRNA from 1 species